GACCUCCUGGUGCUUAGCACAGGCUAUGUUCUUACACUGACUGUAUAGAAAGAAGAAGCAAAGUAAAUCUACCCCAUGUAUACCUCAGCCCAGGCCCUGUGCCUGAUCUUUAUUGUGAGUGGAGAGACAUGG
rnacentral:snoRNA from 1 species